GAUGAACGCUGGCGGCGUGCCUAAUACAUGCCAGUCGAGCGAACAGACGAGGAGCUUGCUCCUCUGACGUUAGCGGCGGACGGGUGAGUAACACGUGGAUAACCUACCUAUAAGACUGGGAUAACUUCGGGAAACCGGAGCUAAUACCGGAUAAUAUAUUGAACCGCAUGGUUCAAUAGUGAAAGACGGUUUUGCUGUCACUUAUAGAUGGAUCCGCGCCGCAUUAGCUAGUUGGUAAGGUAACGGCUUACCAAGGCGACGAUGCGUAGCCGACCUGAGAGGGUGAUCGGCCACACUGGAACUGAGACACGGUCCAGACUCCUACGGGAGGCAGCAGUAGGGAAUCUUCCGCAAUGGGCGAAAGCCUGACGGAGCAACGCCGCGUGAGUGAUGAAGGUCUUCGGAUCGUAAAACUCUGUUAUUAGGGAAGAGCAAAUGUGUAAGUAACUAUGCACGUCUUGACGGUACCUAAUCAGAAAGCCACGGCUAACUACGUG
rnacentral:rRNA from 1 species